UACGGGAGGCAGCAGUGGGGAAUAUUGCACAAUGGGCGAAAGCCUGAUGCAGCUAUGCCGCGUGUAUGAAGAAGGCCUUAGGGUUGUAAAGUACUUUCAUCGGGGAGGAAAAAACAAAACUAAUAAUUUUAUUUCUUGACGUUACCCGAAAAAGAAGCACCGGCUAACUCCGUGCCAGCAGCCGCGGUAAUACGGAGGGUGCUAGCGUUAAUCAGAAUUACUGGGCGUAAAGAGCACGUAGGUGGUUUUUUUAAGUCAGAUGUGAAAUCCCUGGGCUUAACCUAGGAACUGCAUUUUGAAACUGAAAUACUAGAGUAUCGUAGAGGGAGGUAGAAUUCUAGGUGUAGCGGUGAAAUGCGUAGAUAUCUGGAGGAAUACCUGUGGCGAAAGCGGCCUCCUAAACGAAUACUGACACUGAGGUGCGAAAGCGUGGGGAGCGAACAGGAUUAGAUA
rnacentral:rRNA from 1 species